UACGUAGGGGGCAAGCGUUGUCCGGAAUCAUUGGGCGUAAAGCGCGUGUAGGCGGCCCGGUAAGUCCGCUGUGAAAGUCGGGGGCUCAACCCUCGAAUGCCGGUGGAUACUGUCGGGCUAGAGUGCGGAAGAGGCGAGUGGAAUUCCUGGUGUAGCGGUGAAAUGCGCAGAUAUCGGGAGGAACACCCGUAGCGAAGGCGGCACUCUGGGCCGGAACUGACGCUGAGGAGCGAAAGCGUGGGGAGCAAACAGG
rnacentral:rRNA from 1 species